rnacentral:rRNA from 1 species
AUGGCUUCUGUUCCAGUCUCGUCUAAGAUUCUGCUUGAUGCUAUGUUAGAGAAGGUUGGCCUUCCAGCGGCCACCUACUCAGCGCGCCCAAUAGAGGGCACGCGUCUGGAGGUUACCAUUACCUUUUACCCAAUCAAGAUCAAGCUCGGGAGGUCACCUGUCAAAGUUUCCCUGUCUACCUCACAGCACCAGGAUCUAGCAGAAGCUCGGGAUUAUGUGGCUGCUGCAGCAAUUAAGUACAUGGAUGCUUACGAGGGUGUGGUUCCAAAAGAUUACCAUUAUGAUCAACUAAGGACUGUGGAAAAGGCGAAUGUACUAUUGGGUCGGCCGCUUAAGGCAAUGAAAGAGGGACAAUGCAUCUCUAAAACAAGAGCUGAAAGAGAGCCUUGGCAAAAACAAGCUCCUGAGCAAAGGAUGGGAUGGAUCCUUGAGCACGGAACAGACCAUCGUCAGCAACCUUAA